rnacentral:lncRNA from 1 species
AUUCCUUGCUUGGCCAAACUUUAGUCAGAUGUCUAUCUUCCUUGCAAAAUCCAACUUUUUUUUUUUUAUGUGGUACAAUGUGAUGUUUUGUUCUUUUUUUUAAAUUUAUUAUUAUUAUACUUUAAGUUUUAGGGUACAUGUGCACAUUGUGCAGGUUAGUUACAUAUGCAUACAUGUGCCAUGCUGGUGCGCUGCACCCACUAACUCGUCAUCUAGCAUUAGGUAUAUCUCCCAGUGAUAUCCCUCCCCCCUCCCCCCAACCCACAACAGUCCCCAGAGUGUGAUGUUCCCCUUCCUGUGUCCAUGUGUUCUCAUUGUUCAAUUCCCACCUAUAAGUGAGAAUAUGCGGUGUUUGGUUUUUUUGUUCUUGCGAUAGUUUACUGAGAAUGAUGAUUUCCAAUUUCAUCUAUGUCUCUACAAAGGACAUGAACUCAUCAUUUUUUAUGGCUGCAUAGUAUUCCAUGGUGUAUAUGUGCCGCAUUUUCUUAAUCCAGUCUAUCAUUGUUGGACAUUUGGGUUGGUUCCAAGUCUUUGCUAUUGUGAAUAGUGCCGCAAUAAACAUACGUGUGCAUGUGUCUUUAUAGCAGCAUGAUUUAUAGUCCUUUGGGUAAAUACCCAGUAAUGGGAUGGCUGGGUCAAAUGGUAUUUCUAAUUCUAGAUAGAAUGUUUCCUCUUAUAACUCAUAGUGAAUAUGACUGGACAAUGAAACUAUUUUGUAAUUUCUUUCCUGAAAGAUAAAGGCGUUAGAACAUAGAAUCUUUCAUUGAUUCUACAGAAUCUUAAGACUCCUUCAGAGAUGGCAGUCAUUCGUACCGUGCUGAACAUCAUGUUGUCACGGUCAGAAUCAGAACUAAAUUGAUUAAGGUUCUGAAACAGUUUGGCACUCUUGGGCACUUAUUCUGAUAAGAAAGCUGAUGAGACAGGGUAAUGAAAAGAGGCUGCAAGAAAUGACCAUUCAUGCAUUCAGCCAACAUUUAGGCCACCCUCCUGUAUUCCAGGCACUGUACGUGGCACUGAGAAUGCAAAGCAAAACGAGUCAUGGUCUACUGGCGGGAGCCUUCUCAGCGGAGAAAAGAUCAACAAGAAAAGUGCCUGCUGGAGACCUCUCCUAGGGCAUAAACCAAUAUAGAGGUGGGGCAGCUACGUCAGCCUGAGGUGUCCUUAGGCAGAACAGAAAGUGAGAAUCAGAGCAGUAUCUCAUUUCUGAACACCUGGAUUGUAGCUUUCCCUGGACUGACUGUCAAAGGAGGUGGUUUUAAAAAGCAAGCCAAACAGGUUUCCGUCCUUUAGGAAGACCCUGGAACGUGCCAGUUGAUUCUGACAAUUUCUCAUGAACAGAAACACCUAGGAAGGGAGAACUGGUGAGUCUUUUCAAGAAGAGGAAGUCCCUCAAAAGGGGCUGUGUUUCGCAAACGGCACCCCAAAAGGGCUGAAAUACUUCGAUCUGGAGGAAAAAGACUCAGGCACUGAGGGAAGGGGAGGGUGCACAUCUGGGGUAAUUUCAAGGCUUUUUCCGUGUUAUCUGAGGUGGCAACAAGUAAAGAUUUGUUCGUUUUAUUAUUUUUUUAAUUUUUAAAGGUGUUCUUUUCCCCCCUUUUCCCCCUCCCGGCCACUCCGGUUUGUGUUUGCCACAAGACUCAUAAUUCCUUUAGAAAGUGGAGUCGAAUUCAUAAAAGUGAUGGGGGGAGAGCGCGGAGAGGGAAGGCUGGGAGCCCCAGGGAGUCUUCACUACCUACACUGCCGCUCAGCUCCCGGCGCGAGUGGAGGUCGGUGUGGGGAGACGCGACUCCUGCCCGGGAUGGCUGACACUCUGCGAGCCCCGGCGGCCCGCGGCCGGGCCGGGUGACUAGGCGGAGGGCGCGGAGGGUCCGCGGCGGGCGGGUGGCGCUGCAGCAGCCUGGGCACGGCUGCCGCCGCCCGCGGGCGAGAGUGUGCACGGGUGUGGAAGGCCGGAGUGCGGGCCGUGAGGGGUGUGCGCGCUUGAGCCGGAGCGGGGCUCGCCCCUCGUCGGCUCCCGCCGCCCAGCCGGUGAUCGCUCUCCGGCCGUCCCCGGCACCCUCGGCCCCCCACGGCGGUUGGUCCGGGCGGGGGAAGGAGAAAGUGAGACUCGGUGUCAUCACCAAUCCAUCGCCAGAAGGGGAGGUAAUUGGAAUCCAGCAGCGGCGAGCAGCAGCUGGGCAGUCACAUCUGGAAAUGGAAAGCCGACCUCCACCUCCUCCUCCUCCUUCUCCUCCUCUCACCCAGGAUCACUUCCGAAACCAGUUGGCCUUCAGCCCCUGCCUCGGCCAGAGGUUUCAUUUUUAACUGAAUAUUUACGAAAGCUGAAAGCGUGCGAGGGGGGUGGGGUGGAAAUAGCGGCUGCUUCUUUUCCAAGGACUUAUUUAAUGGGGAUGUGUUCAAGGCAAGACCGAAUUCAGAAGGAUAUCGACGUCGUGAUCCAGAAGUCCAGAGCUGAGGACUGCCUGUUUGCAGGUGAGUUCUUGCUUUUCCAGAACCUCGGACCCCGCGCCCCCUUCCCAGUUCUCUGACCGCGACGUGUGUGGCUGGGGGUGGGGUGGAGGGUUUGCACGUCCGCAUUCCGGGGUUCAUUUGGCAACAGCUGCUGCAACGAACACGGGAGCCAAAAGCCAGAGGGGGUGCCAGCCUCGCCCCUUCCCCUCCCCCCACCCCCAAGUCUGGGGCAGCUACCAGCUUUGAGGGCAGAACCCGCGUGGCCCGAGCGGGGGUCUAGGCGAAGGGGCAGUGCGUGGUAUUUCCAGCCCCGCGUAGUGCCCGAAGCCUGCAAGCACGCCUCCUGGGUUCCAGCAGCGGCGGCAGAGCGGGGUUGGUUGGACCCGCCAGGUUUGCGUAAUGGGCUGAGCGGCGGCGGCCGGGAAUGGAGCUUGCUGCGCUGCGCUCAUUUCAGAUACUCAGACUCCACCUUUACUUUUACCUAUGUUGGCGGCCCCAGAAGGAGUGAAGGCAAUUUUGAAGGCAUGACUACGACCUGCUCUGGCCACAAGAGCUAAGAGUUGCCAGGUGUGGUGGCUCAAACACUUUGAGAUGCCAAUCCCAACACUUUGAGAGGCCAAGGCAGGAGGAUUGCUUGAGGCUAGGAGCUUGAAACCAGCCUGGGCAACACAGUGAGACCCCAUCUCUACAAAAAAUAAAAAAACAGGCCAGGCGCAGUGGCACUUAGGGAGGCCAAGGUGGGUGGAUCACCUGAGGUCAGGAGUUCGAGACCAGCCUGACCAACAUGGAGAAACCCCGUCUCUACAAAAAAUACAAAGUUUGCCAGUGUGGUGGCACAUGCCUGUUAUCCCAGCUACUCAGGAGGCUGAGGCAGGAGAAUCGCUUGAACCCGAAAGGCAGAGGUUGCAGUGAGUGGAGAUCACGCCAUUGCACUCCAGCCUGCGCAACAAGAGUGAAACUCCAUCUCAAAUAAAUAAAUAAAAUAAAGUUUUAAAAAGUCAAAAUUAUCCAGGCGUGAUGGUAUGUUCUUGUAGUCCCAGCUACUCAGGAAGCUGAGGUG